rnacentral:rRNA from 1 species
UACGGAGGGGGCUAGCGUUGUUCGGAAUUACUGGGCGUAAAGCGCGUGUAGGCGGCCCGGUAAGUCCGCUGUGAAAGUCGGGGGCUCAACCCUCGGAUGCCGGUGGAUACUGUCGGGCUCGAGUACGGAAGAGGCGAGUGGAAUUCCUGGUGUAGCGGUGAAAUGCGCAGAUAUCAGGAGGAACACCAAUUGCGAAGGCAGCUCGCUGGGACGUUACUGACGCUGAGACGCGAAAGCGUGGGGAGCAAACAGG